rnacentral:lncRNA from 1 species
CCACCUGACAAGAGCGGCAACACCUGGUGAAUCGUCACCCCGCUACUCGAUGUCCGUAUAAGUAAACCGUCAGUACUCCCGACUUAGACACCAGCUUGUGUGAAAAUCGUAGCACAUACGGAAAUAACAACGCACUUCGAGUUUACCCAACUCGAAUGCAAAACUAGGACACAAGUCCAAACCCCGCACUCACGUGCCUAUAUACCGUAAGUCUUCUUAUGGGUCAACCUAACCAAUGGCUCAGUUUUUUUGUUAUUUUUCAAAACAACCUGUGAAUGGUGUUGUGGUUGUAACUUGGCUCUGAUACUACUUUAAUCUGUC